AAUCUGGGUGUAGAAGGGAAGAGCUCAUUAACCCGUAAUUCUCGCACCAUCAAGCACUGGAGGAGCUUCCUCAAUACCAGAAAAGAGUAAGAAAUGGCCUUUCACGGAAUUAACCAAGGUGAACAUUUCCGUUUUUGCCGUUCAUUGCAUGCUUAAAUGUCAACAUGUGAUCCUUUGCUGUUUAAAUUUUCUUCAAUUGGUAUCAGAGCCAACAUGGAUGACAUUUGAGCUGCAAUUUUGGGUUAAUUUUUAGGUUUCCCGUUUCCUGUCGUGGAAGCCAUUUUUUGGAAUUUUAUUUCUCGUUUGAUAUUGAUUCUCUGUUUUCAAGUCCGAUUGUUGUUGGAAACUUGUAGAGAAUAUUGUUUGGAGCAAAACCCAUCAUUUUAUUUGAUUUUUGGAGCUUGUUUGGUGGGUUUUCGAGAAUUAGGGCUUGCUUUGGUUCUUCCUAUUAUGCGUUUUUUGUGCAAAUUUUGGGAUUAAAUUGAAGGUUUGAUGUUUGAGGAUGGAAAUCUAAGCGUUUUUUGUCGGAAAAUGCCCAAAAUUUUGGCUGAAAAAGGAAAUUUUUUUUUCUCCUGCACCAGGCCGUGUUCAGCUGGAGAAGGAGAUGAAUAGUGACGUGAUGACAUCAUCAUGACGUCAUAAAAAAAAAAAAAAAAAAAAAAACCAAAUUUUUUUUUUUUUUUUUUUUUUGUUGCCUUGAUAUUAUUGGAAUGAUUGUGCAUAUGCUAGAAUUUUUUAUGCAUUUGUUAAAUUUGACUUUAUUGGGACAAUUAUUAUUAUUAUUAUUGUUCUUUAUGGUAUAAUUUUUCUUUAUAUCAAUAAUGUUGUCCUAUGUCAAUUUUGUUAAAUAUUUCAAUUUAUUGAGGCAAUGAAGCACACUUGUGUGAUUGCCUAUCGCAAUUCCAAGUGUGUCAAAUUGUGAAAAUUGAAUAUUUUAUUUUAUUCAUGACAAUUGUGAACAUAUGUGUGAUUGCCUAUCGUGAUCCUAUAUGUGUCAAAUUGUCCUUGUUGAGAUAAUUUAACUCCCUCUUUUGAUUGUUUUAUUAUUGUGAUUACUAAGAUCCAUACGGGUAUUGUGAUUGUCCUAUCGAUGAUUAUAAUAUUUGGUAGGAUGCUUGGAUUGGUGAAGGAAAUUAAUUUUAUAUUAUGAAUCGUACUAAUUUUCUUUGCCCUUUCGAUAAUAAAAUUAGUGCAUCUUGGUUGUGAUAUUUAAUUAGUUGUCCUUACCGCCGUGGAAUUUUCAAAAUUCCAAGCUGUUGCUAAAUUGAGAAAUUCUGGAAACUAGCAAAUGCAUGAUUUUGAAGUAAAAUGCAUAUUGCUUAAUUUGCUAUUUUCCAGCUACUAGCAAUCAUGGUAUUACUCUGCAAUUGUCUGCCAUCAAACCUCUUACUGGAAUAAUUUUGAGGAAUGUUUUGAGUCUUUCAAUGUGCAUAUGACUAUGCACAUUUUGGACUGGGCUUUGAGAGUUGAUAAGCCAAGUAAAUUUGAGUUCUUCCAUGUUGUGGCACAAACGCCUAGGUCAUAUUUCUAGAGGUAUCUGAAGUUUGAUAGUAUUAUCACCCAAAAUGACUUUAAAGAAAAUACAGUUGACAGAUGCAUAUAUUUGAGGGUCAGUGGGAGUAGUUACAUAUUUCUUGUUUUAUAUGUUGAUGAUAUACUACUCGCGUCAAAUGAUCCUAACUUGUUGAUUGAGACAAAGCACAUGUUGUCAACCCAUUUUGACAUGAAGGAUUUUGGUGAGGCUUCUUAUGUCUUGGGCAUAAAGAUUCUUCGUGAUAGGGCUAAUGGAGUGCUUAAAUUGUCUCAAAGAGUAUAUAUUGAAAGGAUAUUGAAGAGGUUCAAUAUGCACAACUGUAAAUCUACUAAAGCGCCAAUUGUGAAGGGUGAUAAAUUUUCAAAGGCUCAGUGUCCUCAAAAUGAUGAUGAAAGAGAGGAAAUGAAGACCAUUCCUUAUUCUUCUGUGGUGGGCAGCCUUAUGUAUGCUCAAGUAUGUACAUGCCCUGAUAUUGCUUUUGUUGUGGGCAUGUUGGGAAGGUACUUGAGCAAUCCUGGGAGUCAACAUUGGAAAGCAGCUAAGAAGGUCCUUAGGUAUUUGCAAGGAACUAAGGACUUAAUGUUGACAUAUCAGCGCACCAGCUUACUUGAUGUAGUUGGGUUUUGUGAUGCUGAUUUUGCUGGCUGCAUAGAUGAUAAGAAAUCCACUACGGGCUAUAUUUUUAUGAUGGCAGGAGGAGCUGUAUCUUGGAAAAGUGUCAAGCAGACACUUACAGCAUCCUCAACUAUGGAGGCAGAGUAUGUGGCAUGUUAUGAGGCUUGUUGUCAUGCUAUGUGGAUGCGGAAUUUUGUUUUAGCUUUAGGAGUUGUUGACUCCAUUUCGAGACCGCUGAAAUUAUUUUGUGAUAAUUCCGCAGCUGUUGCUUUCUCCAAGAACACUAGGAGUAUUUCUCGCUCCAAACAUAUUGAUGUAAAGUUCUAUUUUGUUAAAGAGAAAGUGGCAGAGUCUCUUAUUGAUAUUGAACACAUGUCCACAAAAAGUAUGUUGGCGGAUCCAUUAACAAAAGGCUUACCCAUAAUUGCGUUUCAGGAACAUGUAUCUCAAAUGGGGUUGUUGGAAGCCUAGGUUGUAUUAAGUUAGUGGGAGCCAUUUUUUGGUAUUAUAAUAUUAUGGUAUUGUUGGAAGGAUUGCUACUAUUGUAUAUUUCCCUGUGAAUCAAGCAAUGAAGCAUGUAUGAUUGCUUUUUGAUUAUUUAUUUCUGAUGAGAUUCUAUGGGACAUUGAUUUAUGAUUAUGUGUAUGUUGUAAUGUUUGAUUAUGUAGUCCAAGUGGGAGAUUGUUGGAAUUUUUAUGUGUGGACUUACAUAAUCAAUUUAAUAAUGUCAUAAAUCAGUGUUAUUUAUUUUUGCAUUGUGGUCCAUAAUGGGACUGGACACAUAUUGUUGCUUGAUUUUUUAUGGGCUCACCCUAAUUCACUUGACUGGCCCAUUAAGUCAAGUGGUGGUCCAAAUAAUGUGUGUGAUAUAUAUAUAUGAAUAUAUUUAUUUAUUUAUAUAUAUAUAUAUAUAAAAGAAAAGGAAGGGCUCUCUCUUGCUUGCUGCCCUUUGCUCCUUCCUCCUUUGGUUGAAAGAGAGCACGCACUCUCGUUUUGGACUGAAUCUGGGUGUAGAAGGGAAGAGCUCAUUAACCCGUAAUUCUCGCACCAUCAAGCACUGGAGGAGCUUCCUCAAUACCAGAAAAGAGUAAGAAAUGGCCUUUCACGGAAUUAACCAAGGUGAACGUUUCCGUUUUUGCCGUUCAUUGCAUGCUUAAAUGUCAACAUGUGAUC
rnacentral:lncRNA from 1 species